rnacentral:lncRNA from 1 species
UAGAAUUUUGUUGAAGAAAGAUGACAUGACUCACUUGAGAAUUGAGAUUAGAAGAAUUUCAACUCAUUUUUCUGUUAAAAAUAUUAAAGAAUAACUGAAUAAGACUCGACCUCUUACAAUGUGGCCAUUCCUAACCUAACCCUCUUCAUAUCUACACUCUAAUCAGUUCAAAUCACAUACUUAUAUAAAUUACAUUACAAAAAGAAUAAACAAGCCUCAUCACGUGGCAAAACAUAAUGAACCUUCCUAACCCAGAAUUGGACUUUUACCUCUUGAGUCUACUAUAUUUGCAGUGGCUGAGCUUGUUCCCGUUGCAGUAACAGUACCAGAGGUACUAUUGUAGCUUGAGUCAGAAGAGUGUGAACCAGAGGUACCACCGGUGGAAGACAACGCUGAGUGCCGGCGAGGUCUUCUAUACCGGCUAACGGGCACUCCCGGUCUCGUCGGGUCUUCCACGCGGUUGGGGCCUGGCUUCCUUGACAGCAUCACCACCACACGCCUCAUUGUCGGGCGUAGCUGUGGAUCGCCCUGAGUGCACAGCAGAGCCAGCUGAAUACAUGUUGA